rnacentral:lncRNA from 1 species
AUUAAUUUCUAAAUGCUCCUGAUCAAUGGAUCAUCACGAGGACGGUGAUCGAUCCGAUCAGUGCACAGAUCACUUUUCUUCUGGAUGGACGAGACUUGAGUCCACAGUGUAGGGACACUGAAGUGAUAGUGCAGGUGCUUGUUAGAGAACAAGGGUACUGAGCGUGACCAAGACAAGAAGUCACUUGGAUGUCUAUCCACUCGUCAGUGACUUGCUUGAUGUUG